rnacentral:rRNA from 1 species
AGUGAACGCUGGCGGUAGGCCUAACACAUGCAAGUCGAACGGCAGCACAGUAAGAGCUUGCUCUUACGGGUGGCGAGUGGCGGACGGGUGAGGAAUACAUCGGAAUCUACUUUUUCGUGGGGGAUAACGUAGGGAAACUUACGCUAAUACCGCAUACGACCUACGGGUGAAAGCAGGGGAUCUUCGGACCUUGCGCGAUUGAAUGAGCCGAUGUCGGAUUAGCUAGUUGGCGGGGUAAAGGCCCACCAAGGCGACGAUCCGUAGCUGGUCUGAGAGGAUGAACAGGCCAACCUGAACUGGGGCACCGUCCCAGCCCCUAACGGGAGGCAGAGGGGGGGAUAUUUGAACAUGGGCGCAAGCCUGAUCCAGCCAUACCGCGUGGGUGAAGAAGGCCUUCGGGUUGUAAAGCCCUUUUGUUGGGAAAGAAAAGCAGCAGGUUAAUACCCCGCUGUUCUGACGGUACCCAAAGAAUAAGCACCGGCUAACUUCGUG